CAGGCGCGGUCUACGGACAGCAAAAGCUAUUUUGUGCCAUCCAACGGUUGAGAUUUAAUCUGAAGAUCGAUCCAACGACUGCUGUUCGUUGUCAGUUUAUAAGAGGAUUUUUUGCUCAAUCGAAUGAUCGAAAAUGAAUCCAUCAUUAGAUCCGAUGGCUGAGGAUACUUUCGACUGAGAAUAAGAGAUUAUCAAUGUGAUUCGACAGUCCAGAACUAAUUUCAGG
rnacentral:lncRNA from 1 species